UCUUGAACGUGGAACUCCAAGGUGAAGUCAUCAACCGAAGGCAAGAUGUCCUGGAUCUGCAUAGGGAACUGCAGGCCAUCUUGUGACCUCAGGACAUGCUCAGGGACAAUCACAAUGACUGUGUUCUCCAGGGUUAGUUGCAGCGCUGUUUCUGGGGCCAGGAUGAAGACGCCCUCUUCCAGGCUCAGCCUCACUUCUGUCCCUUGUUCCAGGACUAUUGUGAGCUCCUCAGUGCCAGAAUCCAGCUGCUCCUGUGGAAAGACAGUCCUCAGUAUUCUGCCCUCCAAAAAGGCUGCAAAUGAUGAUCAUGGGGAGGAAGAUGCCAGGAGCUUCACCCUUUACAACUUUAAAAUACAAACUCCCUCCCAGAAUUGGCUCUCAUGCUGACCCACCUAAAUGUACAUCUGCUGGAUAUCACUCGAGCCUGAAGACUGUGCAGCACUGUCCAAUCUUUGCCAUGCAAGGACAUAGGAACUUACCUGGGGAGGUUCCAGGGACUGGCAUGAAUUCAGGUGUGGAGCUCCUGAAAUUGAGAGUAUUUUUGCACCUGUAGAGAGACCACAGUGAGGGAGGCUAAGGCUCUUUUCCAGCAAGAGUCUCCUGGAUUUCAGAAUGUGACCUUCAGAAAUCCACAACCCAGCACUGGCUAGCCUCAGGACACCAGCCCCCAACAAUCGAGCAUUGCUUGCCACUCAUCCUGCAGAAAACCCCCUACUCCAUUUAUGUCAUGAGCCAUGACACUGACCUCCAGGCAUGGGGAUCUUAAGAAAUAUUAGGGAACGUGCCUUACCUGUACAGGGACCCUGCUCCACUUGGCGGCGUUUGGGUGGAUUCAUUUGUGUGGUAGCCAAACUGCAGGACAGAAAGGGACCCAUCAGUCUUCCACAUAGUGACACAAAGUCUAAUUCUCACAAGCCCCAAACUUCAUUAGCCACCUGGCACACAUUGUUGCUGUGGCCCAAAAUCACAUGCACUUGUGUUCAGCUCCAAAUCCUAUGUGCAUCCAGAAAGUCCUAACACUCAUCUCCCACCCUCUCCUUUUCUAGAGGCUUUUCCUGUUGGUGCAUGUUUGUGAUGAGAGAUGGUGAUCACAGGAAACAGUUUGCUUUUUCAGGAGCUCAUCCACAUGAGAAGGAGGGACAUCUAAUUUGGCCUGACGACUUUAGGAGAAGAUGCUGAUUUUUCAGAAAAAUAUCCAGGAGACUCUGCAGGGAAUCUCCCAUCUCAGCAGUUAGGACGGCGGACAGGAAGUUUUCCUCACGAUGGACAUUGCCUAAGUUGCCCCAAAGCCAGGGCGGCACCUCCUCCCUGACCAGAGGAAAGGAAGCUGAGGUACUUCCUGGAGACCCCGCCCCGCCUCCGCAGGCAGAAAGCGCAUGCGCCCCGCAGGGCGGAAGGCGUGUUCCCGCGCCCUCUGCCGGCCAUGGUGUUGCAGCGCAGGUGGCUUGGCCUUGACUGCUUAGCGGUGGGCCUAAGUCUCUGAAUGGCUGAAAUUCUGGUUUAGAUUAUUCAGUAUGUUUCUUUUGGAAGGUCAAAUGAAAAUAGAGCACGGUAUCAUUUGCUUUGAUGGAAGAUAAUUGAAAUAAAGAAGCAACGUCAAAGGACCAUAUACAAAAGGCGAUUGAUUCCCUGUAUGUGGAUGGAAGAGGAGCUUGAAUAAUAGAAGGGUGCUGUGAUAGUUUAAUGCUGGAAACCUGCCACUAUGCAUUUGUCAAAUCCCAUACAAUUUUACCGCAUAAAUAGUACAUCUUAAUGUGGCUCAGGACUACAGCUUAUGUCAUAUACGAUUUGGGGGAAAAUUAUGUAUUUAAUUAAAUAGUUUAAACUGUGAACAAUAAGGUGGGCCCUGCCUGGACCAGAUUGCCUGCCAAGCAGAUUGCCACAGGCUUGGUGUCUCCUCAUCCUCACACAGUACUUGACAAAAACCCUGGCUUCAGUGUAGAAUCACGUAUGGAGAAUAUUUAGUUUUAUGAUGUAGCACUUUCACCCAUGAAUUAGCCCAUUUAAUUGACUUCAUUAAGGUCCAUGGUUUCAGGAUUUUGCAGUUUGCUAAAAGCUCAAUGUCAUCCCAAUUUAUUUCCUGGGACCAUUUCUCCUUGAAGUUUACAUUCAAUACUGAGGUUUGCUGAAAGCCAAUGCAUUUCCAAGUUCUAGAGUCAAAUCAGAGGACGCCUGUUUGGUCAGAAGUUUUAUUUUGCUUGCAGAAAAGUACAUUGAAUCAAACAUAAGAAGGGUUUGUAUGGUGGCUGAGAGGUUAAGGUGCUUUACCUGCUAGGCCACAGUAAGGGGAGCACAACUGUGUCCUCUGUGUCAUAACUCAGGACUCACAUGAAUAAAACGUGGAAUGUCAGGAGAUGAACUUCUACUCCCAUUUAGGGGAGCUUCAAGGAGAAUGUCCCAAGGGCUUUCUGAGGGAAAGAAGAGCAGGGAUGCCUAAUUCUCUGGCCCCAGGGAGUUGUUCAUGGGCAGAGACAAGGGCUGGGGUAAUUCAAUGGUUUAUACUGGGUGUUUUUGAUACUGCCCCCAUUUCCCUGCUAAAUCUGUGUAAUGGAUCACCGAGAAACCUGGCACGUGGGGCUGAAGAUCCGUGUUGUGUCAACUCCAGGGAGGGAUCCAGAUAAGUGGUUUUGGUGAAAGCUGGAAUGAAGGGAGUUUGGCUGUGGAAAGAAAAAAAGGCUGUUGAAGAUGGGGAAAUGGGAACAGAAGGUUGAAAUCUCUAUUCACAUGCCAAGGAUAGCUUAUGCAAAUCUAUGUGCCAGACCUGCAUAAACAAAACUACAACUUUAACAACUAUUAGAUUUUUCAGCAACAGGUUUUAAUGUUUCAAUAUUUGCAAGUAUUUUUCUAUUAAAAAUAAUAAAGUUGUUUACAUAAUUUUGUAUUCAAAAUUCCCAGGUCACAUAACUAUUAUACAUUUCACAUUUUAAUGAAUAGACACAUUCUCUAAAUUAUGAAUUAUUUGCUCAAUUGUAUGUUAGUUUUCUUUUUUUAUUCUCCACGACUCAGUGUUCUGACCUGAAAUCUGCAGUAUUUGGUAAUCCACAAGAUGAUCGGUUGUCCUUGUGAAGACUUUCCUUUCCUAUUUCCUUCUCAAGAAGGUAUUUUUUACUGAUUUUUUUCUAACAUACAAAGGGUGGCACCCGGCUGAAUGUUGGUUCACAGUGAAUAGAGACCAAGGUUUCUCUCGAUUGGAGUCCCAAAUUCCUUACAGAGCUAAGAAUUCUCUACCCUGCAAAUCCUGUGUGUUUUAAGUUAGAGCUUUUGCAAAAUACUUAUUAUAUUGACAGUUUUCAUUCUCAUGUCAUUUAUAUUCAGACAAGUCUUUGCUACGUAGAUGGCAUACAUAUAGCUUCUCUUCUAUAUAAAUUCACUCAUGUAGACUGAGGAAUAAGGAUAACGGAAUGAUAUUCUACAUUGGUUACCAUGUUUAUUCAAUGUGUGAGCCCUCUGGUGUGUUUAGUUGUUAAAUAGAUGGCCAACGUCUCUUCACAUUCAUUCCAUUUAUAGUAUCAUGUCAUCUAAGGGCAGAAUAUUUUCAGAUGAUAUUAAUUUUCUCCCUAGUAUAAGGAUAGUACAUCGACUGAAGGAUGUAACCCAUAGACAACAUCCUUAAAGUUUCUUUCCAUUGUUACUUUUCUCAUGUCUAAUGGCAGAACAUUGACUGAAGGAAAACUCAGUGGAGAGAACUCACUGGAGACAAACCACAUAUAUAUAUAUAUAUAUAUGAAUAAUCAAAACUAUUAAAGUGACAAACAGAACGGUGAUUUCUACAGGACUAUGGGAGGAAGAGGAGAUUGAAUAAGCCAAAAUAUUUGAUGUGAUACUUUAAUUAUAGAUAUCUGGUACUCUUCAUUUGUCAAAUCCCACACAAUUUACAGUACAAUAGUGAGUAUUAAUAAAUACAAGCUUGAAAAUGUUUUGGAGGUAAGGAGAUCCAAGGAUGGAAUGAAGAUAUUACCAAAACAUUAAUUUUGUUAAAAAAUAUGGAACCAACAGACUGCAGGUGGUUGGUGGGAAAGGGAUUGGUCAAAAUGUCUUUGGAAUGAGUAAAAUCUUUAAAACCAGAAGCAAAAGGAAAAAAUAGUAUGCUCUGUUUGAUAAAGUUCUUUCCUAUGGGAAUACUAGUUAAUAAUUCUGAAACCACUAUAUAUGUACACUGGAAUUGAGUAAAUCAUAAAAAAGCAUGGCAGAUAGUAAGGCCCAGAUAUCUCACUGCCUUUGGGAAUUUACAGAUAAAGUUAAAGUACAGAUAGGCAAUUAAAAAAAGACUAGAAUAGUGUGGGUAGUAAUGAAUUAGAGCUGGAUGCACCACGAUGAACUGAUGUUUAGCGUGGUACACAUGCAGAUAUUACUAUUAAGCAAAUGUCUGCAGUUAGGUUCAUAUACUGAACUUACUCCACAUACAUAUAUUCUCUUACAUGAUCAAUUUAGAGAGCUGGGAAACAGCAAUGUGCAAUUUAAUUCCAUAAUCUGUGUUUUUUAAUACCAGUAUCUAAGAGAAUGAAACAGGGCUCUUUGGAGAAAUAGCUGAUAUUAGAACUGGUGCAAAAAAUGCACAAAAACAUCCUGCAGAAUCUAAAUUUUCAAAAAGGAUGUAGUGCAAAAACAAAAAACUAAGACGGGAUUCUGAUAAAAGGAAAGCAGGCACAAAAAAAUAGACCUACCAAUGGCUGAUGUUAGAAUAUUUUAAGCAAAACAAACUGGAAUUUGAUUAUAACUUAAUCUCCAAAAGAAAUAUACAUGAGUUGAUACUUAGAUGAAUAAAUUAUUGAACACAAAAUGAAUAGGAAAAGAUAAUUUCUCAUGCAGAAAAAUUCCAAAUAAUUGCUUUAAGUACUCAGCCAUCAAGGAGAUGAAUCACAAGUUCCAGUUCCUUAUCUUUGAGCUGCACAUAGUGAUUUUCUUUUGAAGAAUAGAGUCAAUACAGACAGGAGAAAAUGACUAAAUUCACAGUGGAGAAAUAUCACUAACACUACAUCAGGCAGUCAUUUUUUGUUCAUAUCAAUAGUUAUAAGUCAUCUUGAGCACAUGUAUGCUUUCAGGUGAACUGAGGAAAUUAAUUUAUCUCUGUGAUUUUCCUCUUAAAAAUGCAAACUCCCUAAUUAAAAAGAUAUCAGAUGAACUUGACUGGAAAACCUCAAAACUAUAGAGUUCAUCAAAAACAAGAAAAGUCUGAGAAAAUGUCACAGUCAAGAAAAGCAUGAAGAGUCAUGAGGAUUAAAUGUGAUGUAACAUGCUGAAUGAAAUUCUGGAACAAUGAAGGUUAACCCAGUGCGAUCUGAGUAAAAACUGAAUUUUAGUUCACAGUAAUAAAUCAAUAUUUGUACAUAAAUUUUGACAAAUACGUCACAGUAAUGUAUAAUAGUAAUGAAACAGAAAGUAGAGUAUGGAGUUUAUGGGAAGUCUUUGCAUAAUGUUCACAAAUUUUCUGCUAAUUAUUCUAAAUAUGAUUGUUAUAAAAUAAAAAUGUGUAUUAAAACAUAAUUAUAUUUUUGUCCCUGAUUGCA